ensembl:misc_RNA Metazoa_SRP Metazoan signal recognition particle RNA
GCCAGGUGUGGUGAUGCACACCUGUAAUCCCACCUACUUGGGAGGCUGAGGCAGGGGAAUUGCUUGAACCUGGGAGGCAGAGGUUGCAGUGAGCCGAAAUGGUGCCACUGUACUCCAGCCUGGGCAACAGAGUGAGACCCUGUCUCAA